rnacentral:rRNA from 1 species
AUUGAACGCUGGCGGCAUGCCUUACACAUGCAAGUCGAACGGUAACAGGGAGCUUGCUCGCUGACGAGUGGCGAACGGGUGAGUAAUGUAUCGGAACGUACCAUUCAGUGGGGGAUAACGUAGCGAAAGUUACGCUAAUUACCGCAUAUUCUGUGAGCAGGAAAGCAGGGGAUCGCAAGACCUUGCGCUGAUUGAGCGGCCGAUAUCAGAUUAGCUAGUUGGUGAGGUAAAGGCUCACCAAGGCGACGAUCUGUAGCGGGUCUGAGAGGAUGAUCCGCCACACUGGAACUGAGACACGGCCCAGACUCCUACGGGAGGCAGCAGUGGGGAAUUUUGGACAAUGGGGGCAACCCUGAUCCAGCCAUGCCGCGUGAGUGAAGAAGGCCUUCGGGUUGUAAAGCUCUUUCGGCCGGGAAAAAAAUCGCAUCAGUUAAUACCUGGUGUGGAUGAUGGUACCGGAAUAAGAAGCACCGGCUAACUACGUG